ensembl:snRNA U6 U6 spliceosomal RNA
GUGCUCCCUUCCAGAGCACAUAUAAUAAAAUUAGAAGGAUACAGAGAAUAUUACCAUGGCCCCUUUGCAAGGAUGACAUGCAAAUUCAUGAAGAGUUCCAUAAGUUU